rnacentral:rRNA from 1 species
GCCAGACUCCUACGGGAGGCAGCAGUGGGGGAUAUUGCACAAUGGGGGAAACCCUGAUGCAGCCACGCCGCGUGAGUGAAGAAGUAUUUCGGUAUGUAAAGCUCUAUCAGCAGGGAAGAAGAUGACAGUACCUGAGUAAGAAGCCCCGGCUAACUACGUGCCAGCAGCCGCGGUAAUACGUAGGGGGCAAGCGUUAUCCGGAUUUACUGGGUGUAAAGGGAGCGUAGACGGUUAUGUAAGUCUGGAGUGAAAGCCCGGGGCCCAACCCCGGGACUGCUCUUGGAACUGCGUGGCUGGAGUGCAGGAGGGGCAGGCGGAAUUCCUGGUGUAGCGGUGAAAUGCGUAGAUAUCAGGAGGAACACCGGUGGCGAAGGCGGCCUGCUGGACUGCAACUGACGUUGAGGCCCGAAAGCGUGGGGAGCAAACAGGAUUAUAUACCCUUGUAU